CCUUACCACUUGAGUCUCCCACUCACCACGUCGCUUUAUGAAAAUUUUUUGAUAAAAUCCUAUUUUAAAAAAGUCAACCCUAUACUUGAUAUGCUGAACAUAGACCUCUAAGAUAUCUCCUGUGGCAAUUAGUCGGUGCAAAUACUCGCAUAGUUGAGAAGCAAGAUAACCAAUGUGUGUCCAUCCAGUUCCAUAGUCUACAUCAAUUGCAAUUGCAAUUGCACUUGGGUCCAUUGGAUUCAAUGGCUCUGGCCGUAUUCUUACAUUCACUGGUUUAUCUUGUCCAUGAAGAGCAAGGUAUGCUGUUGAUGUUGGUAAUUUUUCUCAUGAGCAGCACCGAUGCACUUGAAUGGUACAGCAUGGGUGAUUUUGUCCUCGUCACUUUCAUCCUCAUCACUUAACUGGUCACCACUUUCUGCCCUAUCACCUUCAUUACCAUAUCCAUGCUGACCAGGUUCAAGACCAGCCAACCACUCAAGUAGAUC